GGAGGAAUGGCAGAGCUGGUUUAAUGCACCGGUCUUGAAAACCGACGUACCGAAAGGUACCGGGGGUUCGAAUCCCUCUUCCUCCG
rnacentral:tRNA from 1 species